rnacentral:rRNA from 1 species
UGGGGAAUUUUGCACAAUGGAGGAAACUCUGAUGCAGCGACGCCGCGUGAGUGAUGAAGAUCUUCGGAUUGUAAAACUCUGUCCUUAGUGAAGAUAAUGACAGUAACUAAGAGGCAAGCCCUGGCUAAAUACGUGCCAGCAGCCGCGGUAAUACGUAUGGGGCAAGCGUUGUCCGGAAUUAUUGGGCGUAAAGGGUACGUAGGCGGUUUAAUAAGUCCUAAUUAAAAGGCUAUGGCUCAACCAUAGUAUGGUUAGGAAACUGUUGAACUUGAGUAGAUGAGGGGAAAGUGGAAUUCCAUGUGUAGCGGUGAAAUGCGUAGAUAUAUGGAGGAACACCAAUGGCGAAGGCAACUUUCUGGAAUCAAACUGACGCUGAGGUACGAAGGCGUGGGGAGCAAACAGG